rnacentral:rRNA from 1 species
UACGAAGGGGGCUAGCGUUGUUCGGAAUUACUGGGCGUAAAGGGCGCGUAGGCGGUUUGUCAAGUCAGGCGUGAAAGCCCCGGGCUCAACCUGGGAACAGCGCUUGAGACUGGCACGCUCGAGUUCGGGAGAGGAUGGUGGAAUUCCCAGUGUAGAGGUGAAAUUCGUAGAUAUUGGGAAGAACACCGAUGGCGAAGGCAGCCAUCUGGACCGACACUGACGCUGAGGCGCGAAAGCAUGGGGAGCGAACAGG